rnacentral:rRNA from 1 species
GACGAACGCUGGCGGCGUGCUUAACACAUGCAAGUCGAACGGAAAGGCCCUGCUUUUGUGGGGUGCUCGAUUGGCGAACGGGUGAGUAACACGUGAGUAACCUGCCCUUGACUUUGGGAUAACUUCAGGGAACUGGGGCUAAUACCGGAUAGGAUCUCCUGCUGCAUGGUGGGGGUUGGAAAGUUUCGGCUGUUGGGGAUGGACUCGCGGCUUAUCAGCUUGUUGGUGGGGUAGUGGCUUACCAAGGCUUUGACGGGUAGCCGGCCUGAGAGGGUGAACGGGCACAUGGGGACUGAGAUACGGCCCAGACUCCUACGGGAGGCAGCAGUGGGGAGUAUUGCACAAUAGGCGGAAGCCUGAGGCAGCAACGCCGCGUGCGGGAUGACGGCCUUCGGGUUGUAAACCGCUUUCGCAUGUGACGAAGCGUGAGUGACGGUAAUGGGUAAAGAAGCACCGGCUAACUACGUG